rnacentral:rRNA from 1 species
UAACGAUGAAGAGUUUGAUCCUGGCUCAGGAUGAACGCUAGCGGCAGGCUUAACACAUGCAAGUCGAGGGGUAACGGGGUGCUUGCACCGCC